UUAUGUUCUUUUUUCUCAAUUAAACCAUUAACAAGUAACAUUACAAAAAUUUAAAGAAAAAAAAACACAUACUUGAUCAAGAACUUUUAUUUGAUGGAGUUCUCUUCGUUCCGUCAAUAUUCCUUGCUUUUAACUGGGAUAAUGGAAUUGUUGGUCUUGUUUUGAGAUAAUGAGAUUAUUUUUAAAAUUAUUUUGUGGAGUAAUGGAGUAGUGGGAACUGGGAAUAGUUUGUUUAAGUAUUCUACUAAUUUUUACUUUUUAAAUCAAACAUAACAAUUUCAUUUAACACUCCUUCAAAUAAUAUUUUUUUUAAAAUUGACCCAGACUCAUUGAAAUUUCAGCCCUUUAUACAAAACCUCUAUUCCGCAAUGAGCCAAUAUAUCUUACAAACGCUAACAAAAACACUUGAAUAACAAUAAAACUUCAAAAUAAUAGGUGCCCUCGGUCGGUAUCAGAAUUCAAGAUAUCGAAAUUGACUUCAAAAAAUCAAAAUAAUUAAUAAUAUAUUAAUUUAAACACGUAAAACACUGCGUAGUAAUAUAUUUUUUACAAGUAAGAUCAGUACUAAUCCGUAGCCCUUAAAGUGAGUGGAGCAAAUUAAGAGAGCUAGGUUUUUCUCAUAACUGAGAGAAUCUGGAUCCAAUAGGGAAGUAAGAAACUGGAAUUGGGGCAGUUCUUGACUUGGCUCCUGCAUCAAUAUCAUGUGAUGGUUUCAGUUUGGAGCUUCUUCUUGUGGUAUUGCUAGCAGUAACAAUAUGAUCAUCUCCUUGGGCAGCAACUCGCCCAGUAUCUGAAAAGCAACCAAGGAAACUAGAAAACAAAGCCAUGAAUAUAUAUCAAGAUUUAUGCAUGUGAUAGUAAUAAUACUAGUAGUACUCGACUUUGGUCUUGUGUUAGUUCCAUUCCCCGUCCUAUAGGCUAUAUAUAGGCACACCACCUAAUUAAUAAGCAUGCAUCCUGAUGUUUUAAUUGGGACUAUGACCAUAUCAAAGCCCAAAAGUCAAACAUCCUUGAUGACCAAGCAUCUCAC
rnacentral:lncRNA from 1 species